rnacentral:rRNA from 1 species
UACAGAGGUCCCAAGCGUUGUUCGGAUUCACUGGGCGUAAAGGGUGCGUAGGUGGUGGGGUAAGUCGGAUGUGAAAUCUCCAGGCUCAACCUGGGAAUGGCAUUGGAAACUACCUUGCUGGAGGGUUUGAGGGGGGACUGGAAUACUUGGUGUAGCAGUGAAAUGCGUAGAUAUCAAGUGGAACACCAGUGGCGAAGGCGAGUCCCUGGAAAAUACCUGACACUGAGGCACGAAAGCUAGGGGAGCAAACAGG